rfam:Gasterosteus aculeatus cont1.000581, whole genome shotgun sequence.
UUUAAAGUGUAAUGUAAGUCGCUUUGGAUAAAAGCGUCUGCUAAAUGACCUUUA